rnacentral:rRNA from 1 species
GACAGAGGGCUCAAGCGUUAAUCGGAAUCACUGGGCUUAAAGGGUCCGUAGGCGGAUUAGCCAGUAUUGAGUGAAAUACCAUGGCUCAACCAUGGAAUUGCUCAGUAAACUGCCAGUCUUGAACACGGUAGGGGCCAUCGGAACUCUAGGUGGAGCGGUGAAAUGCGUAGAUAUCUAGAGGAACGCCAGAGGCGAAGGCGGAUGGCUGGGCCGUUGUUGACGCUCAGGGACGAAAGCGUGGGGAGCAAACAGG